GGACUACUGGGGUUUCUAAUCCCGUUCGCUCCCCAUGCUGUCGUGUCUGAGCGUCAGUUGCGAGCCAGGGCGCCGCCUUCGCCUCUGGGGUUCCUCCGGAUCUCUACGCAUUUCACCACUACACCCGGAAUUCCACGCCCCUCUCUCGCACUCCAGACGACCAGUCUGGCAUAACCUCGCCCGGUUAAGCCGGGCUAUUUCAUACACCACUUGGUCGCCCGCCUGCACACCCUUUACGCCCAGUAAAUCCGGAUAACGCUCGCCACCUACGUUUUACCGCGGCUGCUGGCAC
rnacentral:rRNA from 1 species